AUGCGGGCAGCAGCAGGCGCUCCCUCAUGUGCGGUGACUCAGACCACAGCCUGCCCCCGCCCCCGCAGCACCUGUCCACCUGCUGCGGGCCAAGUGCUCUGGGCACACGGCCCCCUCCCCCGCCGGCCCCUCCCUCGCCGUGGGCUCCAGGAUGCCGCCACAGCCAGGGAGCUCAUCCUUCCGUUUCUGGUGGGGACAGGCCACCUCCGCUUGCACCUGCUGGGAGGGUGUUGCUGGCACGGGGCUCCUCUGACCCCGAAGCCUGUCCUUGCCCACACCACAGCCCGGCCAGAAUACAAAGUGGAGGGUGGGACGUGGCCGCGGGAGAAGGUUCCACUGGUCCCAAGUCCCUGCCUCCAGGCGGUUUUCGCCCUGGGACUAACCCCGGGCUCUGUCGGCUUCGGCAGGCGGAUCCGGCUCUCCCAGCCACUGUGGCCACCAGGUCACCUGCCUUGCCCGGCACCUCCUGUGCAGAGACGCCCCUGCCGAGGUGCCCCGGCCGCCCCCUGGGCCUCCCGCAACCGCGGCCCUGUUCUCCCACCCCAGGAGACUUCCCGAGGAUUUGGGAAGCCUCUUCGCAUCCACGUCCCUUUUUCGGCGCAGGGCCUCAGCCAGAUAAAGGGAGAAGUGGGCAGGUUCUCAGAGGACCCGAGAGCCACAGGAGGCUCCGGCAUUCGAUCGAGCCUGUGGGCUUGCCUGGAAACGGCGAUACUUGACGGGGACCGAGCAGCCGGCAACAGGGAGCUCUGGGAGCCAGCAGCACGUGGGGCUCACGCCCUCGUCAGCCCCGGGAGGAGGGCUGCCCCUCGGGGCAUCCCACGUGGCAGCCAGCAGGGGACCAGGAGGACUGGGACCAAGGCCAUCGAAGACUCCAAGCUGUCUAGGCUGGACCGGGGCCCUGGAGAAAAGCCGUCUGCCUUUGUAGACAGCCUGAGAGAGGCUUUGGUCCAACAUAGCUCCGCCUCCCGAGCCUGCAGAGGGUCAGGCAGUCUUAAAGGAGAGGUUGAUUACUCAAGCAGACCUGGGAACACACUAGAAUACCCGAAGGCGGUGGGUAAAGCCACCACCUGGGACGCCGGCACCCCAUGUGGGCACUGGUUCAGGUCCCGGCUGCUCCACGUCCGAUCCAGCUCCCAGCUAACGCAUCUAGGAAAGCAGCAGAGGACGGCCGAGUGCUUGGGCCCCUGCAUCAGCCUCUGCAUCCACGUGGGAGACCCGGAUGAAGCUCCCGGCUUCUGGCUCCAGUGCUGUUGCCACCACCUGGGGACUGAACCAAUGGAUGCAGCAUCUCUCACUCCCUCUCUCUCUCUGUAA
rnacentral:lncRNA from 1 species